rnacentral:hammerhead_ribozyme from 1 species
GUCCAUCUGACGAGUCUCAGAUAAAACGAAACGUGCGUCCUGGAU